AUGAGGAUACCCUUAACAGGAGCAGUUAAACCGGGACCGGGUUUAUUGUCGCCCGGAUGCCAUCGGACCCAUCAGAUCACUCAGCCGCGACAAGCGGUGGCUCCGUCGCCUGAAAGUCAAUCUCCGUUAAACAAAGCAGCAUCCUCCUCUCUCCUCUCUCCUCUCCUGCCCCGUCGAUUGGCUGUAUCCCUCCUCGUCAGGCGGCCGCUGAUUGGACAUGCCCCUCUCUACCUCCGCCCCCACCUCCCCGUCCACGAGCGUGCAGCGCGAGACGCCGAGCAGCAGAGGAGGCAUCCGCGCGGUGUGGAGCGGACGGAGCGCGCGCCCACCCACCCCCCCCUCCCUCUCUCCACCACCACCUCCAGGACACCCAGGACAAGUUAUAAACGACGGAAACACGGAGAACAACACCGGAAACGGUAUGAAGAGACGGAGCCCAUAUUGCCUUGGAUGAGAGCCAGCUGUGUCAGAUGCUGUCACAGAGAGCUGAAGGCAUUCCUGCGAGCUGCGAUGGGACACAGUAAGGCCGUGGACACGAUAAGAAAUCUCUGCAGUGCUCCUUUUCAGUCACAACACUAACACUAGACAAUAUAAACGUCCAUUAUCUAAAAUUAAUGUCAGCUGUGUUGCGGAGGCAGCCUCAAGCUGCGCCGCCAGAUCUGAGACAACCCAUGGAGGCGUGGCCUCAAUGUUUCCAACGCUGCU
rnacentral:lncRNA from 15 species